rnacentral:rRNA from 1 species
AAGCUCGUAGUUGAAAUUGUGUCCUGCGGUGUCGGUCUACCGAAUGCGGUACGACAGGCACGUCUGCGGGGCUUCUCGCCGGUGCGUCCACCGCCGGCGUGCGUCGGUCGGCCUCACGGUCGGCCGCGCACCGAGGCGGGCCGUCGCGGCUGUUUACUUUGAACAAAUUAGAGUGCUCAAAGCGGGCUAACACUUGCCUGAAUAUUGUACGCAUGGAAUAAUAGAAUAGGACCUCGGUUCUGUUUUGUUGGCUUUCUGAUACCAGAGGUAAUGAUUAAUAGGGACGACUGGGGGCAUUCGUAUUGAGACGUUAGAGGUGAAAUUCUUGGAUCGUCGCAAGACGGACUAAAGCGAAAGCAUUUGCCAAAGGUGUUUUCAUUAAUCAAGAACGAAAGUUAGAGGUUCGAAGGCGAUUAGAUACCGCUGUAGUUCUAACCAUAAAUGAUGCCAGCCAGCGAUCCGCCGAAGUUUCAUAAUUUUAACCCGGUGGGCAGCUCCCGGGAAACCAA